rnacentral:rRNA from 1 species
AGCGAACGCUGGCGGCAGGCUUAACACAUGCAAGUCGAGCGGGCACUUCGGUGUCAGCGGCGGACGGGUGAGUAACGCGUGGGAACGUGCCUUCUGGUUCGGAAUAACUCAGGGAAACUUGAGCUAAUACCGGAUACGCCCUUUUGGGGAAAGGUUUACUGCCGGAAGAUCGGCCCGCGUCUGAUUAGCUAGUUGGUGGGGUAACGGCCUACCAAGGCGACGAUCAGUAGCUGGUCUGAGAGGAUGAUCAGCCACACUGGGACUGAGACACGGCCCAGACUCCUACGGGAGGCAGCAGUGGGGAAUAUUGGACGAUGGGCGCAAGCCUGAUCCAGCCAUGCCGCGUGAGUGAUGAAGGCCUUAGGGUUGUAAAGCUCUUUUAUCCGGGACGAUAAUGACGGUACCGGAGGAAUAAGCCCCGGCUAACUUCGUGCCAGCCGCCGCGGUAA